rnacentral:rRNA from 1 species
AUUGAACGCUGGCGGCAUGCUUUACACAUGCAAGUCGAACGGUAACAGGCCGCAAGGUGCUGACGAGUGGCGAACGGGUGAGUAAUGCAUCGGAACGUGCCCAGCCGUGGGGGAUAACUACUCGAAAGAGUAGCUAAUACCGCAUACGAUCUAUGGAUGAAAGCGGGGGACCGUAAGGCCUCGCGCGAUUGGAGCGGCCGAUGUCAGAUUAGGUAGUUGGUGGGGUAAAGGCUCACCAAGCCAACGAUCUGUAGCUGGUCUGAGAGGACGACCAGCCACACUGGGACUGAGACAUGGCCCAGACUCGCACGGGAGGAAGCAGUGGGGAAUUUUCGACAAUGGGCGAAAGCGGGAUGCAGCAAUGCCGCGUGAAGGAAGAAGGCCUUCGGGUUGUAAACUGCUGUUGUACGGAACGAAACGGCUGUGAUUAAUACCCGGGGCUAAUGACGGUACCGUAAGAGUAAGCACCGGCUAACUACGUG